GUAUGUAUGUAUGUCCCCUUACCCCAUUUCAUUCUUGGCCCAUGCUUGCUCUUCCUUUUUUACCACUGUUAUUUACUUAUUUCUAUAGCAUGAGUGAACGUCAUUUUGUAACAGUCAAGACCGUGACGUUCGGAUGCCCUCCCUCCCCUGGUAAUUUUAAGUGCAGUGAACCCUUUUUCCUUUGUCAUUUCCAUGUGUAACCAAAUAUGUCUAAAAUUCAGACACCUUCACUGGACCAUGCAUGUUUUUAAUCUGAAAGAUCAGUAGUACUCAGAGUGUUCGUGUAUUUUUUAAGUGACUGCAAUUUUUUUUUGCUUGUCUGAAAACUUAUUUUUCCCUUUUAUAAUUUUACAUUUUAUAGUGAAUCUUUCUAAGUAUAGAUUCUUUUAUUAGACAUGCAAAGAGAAUAAUCACACAACUAAGUUUUCCACAAACGUUUAUGUACACGCCAAUGUAUGCAUGAGACAUCUUUCAAUUAAAAAUGUUUAAACUGAUUUUUUUUUAAAUACCACUAUACCAAUGAGGAUAAGCUGAUUUUUUAACUUAGAUUUUAUAGCUCUAGUUUUGCAGUUUUGGAAAAUAGCAGGUUUUAAACAAAAUUAAUAUAUGAGCUAUUUAAAAUGGUCUUUUUAGAGUAAGUCUUACACAUAAUGGUCAUUUGCUACUUGGAUUUUCUUGUCCAAUUAAUAGUGACAUUUGACAUUGUAUUUAGUCUUUCCUUCCAUUCAUUAAACAAAUCUUACUGUGCAUGUAGGGAGUAUAGAAUGCUACAUUUAAUCUUACGAGAUCAUGCUGUUUACCAAAUUUUAUGAUGAAAUUAAUGCUUUCUUCAGUAGGCAGUCUUACAUUGUAGGCAGACUCCUGUCAAGUUUUGUCUUUCAAAAUGGUCCUCAUUAGCAAGUUACCAAAAGUAAAAAUAGGGCAAUAAAGUAACAGAAUUCCUUUUAAACCCAUAGUAAGCUCUUCUGGCAUGAAUUUAUAGCCCUCUUCUACCCUUCCAGCCAAAGGUCAUUCCAAAUGCUAUAUGUGGAAUUUGUCUGAAGGGUAAGGAGUCCAACAAGAAAGGAAAGGCUGAAUCACUUAUACACUGCUCCCAAUGUGAGAAUAGUGGUAAGUAUUGAAAUGUCUUUUUAAAAUUUUAACCACCGUAUUUAUUGGUUCAAAAACUAGAAUUUAUAGUUUCAGGCAGAUUUCAACCAAAGAGUCACCAAAUUAAAUACACAGGGUAGCUUGUGAGGCAUAGACACAGCCCAUGUGUUUUCCUCUACAUUGUAUAUUCAUUUCUCUUUGGCGAUUUGACAUUAUAGCCAUUCUCUGGAAGUCCUAAAGCAAACUAGUAUUUUAUGUGCCAUAUUAAGUUAAAAUUUCUUAUGUGAGAUACCACUAAUACUGGUUUUGAUUUAGGCCAUCCUUCUUGCCUGGAUAUGACAAUGGAGCUUGUUUCUAUGAUUAAGACCUACCCAUGGCAGUGUAUGGAAUGUAAAACAUGCAUUAUAUGUGGACAACCCCACCAUGAAGAAGAAAUGAUGUUCUGUGAUAUGUGUGACAGAGGUUAUCAUACUUUUUGUGUGGGCCUUGGUGCUAUUCCAUCAGGUCGCUGGAUUUGUGACUGUUGUCAGCGGGCCCCCCCAACACCCAGGAAAGUGGGCAGAAGGGGGAAAAACAGCAAAGAGGGAUAAAAUAGUUUUUGACUCUAAUACUGUAUAUGCAUUUAAGUGGAAUAUUUGGUGCCAUUUACAACAUUAUUUUCAUGCCAAUAAAAGAUUUUUUUUGCAAA
rnacentral:lncRNA from 10 species